CAGCCGCCGCGGGAAUACGAAGGGUGCAAGCGUUACUCGGAAUUACUGGGCGUAAAGCGUGCGUAGGUGGUGGUUUAAGUCCGUUGUGAAAGCCCUGGGCUCAACCUGGGAAUUGCAGUGGAUACUGGGUCACUAGAGUGUGGUAGAGGAUAGUGGAAUUUCCGGUGUAGCAGUGAAAUGCGUAGAGAUCGGAAGGAACAUCUGUGGCGAAGGCGACUAUCUGGGCCAACACUGACACUGAGGCACGAAAGCGUGGGGAGCAAACAGGAUUAGAUACCCAGUAGUCCCUGUCUCUUAUACA
rnacentral:rRNA from 1 species